rnacentral:rRNA from 1 species
UAGGGAAUCUUCGGCAAUGGACGAAAGUCUGACCGAGCAACGCCGCGUUAGUGAAGAAGGUUUUCGGAUCGUAAAACUCUGUUGUUAGAGAAGAACAAGGACGUUAGUAACUGAACGUCCCCUGACGGUAUCUAACCAGAAAGCCACGGCUAACUACGUGCCAGCAGCCGCGGUAAUACGUAGGUGGCAAGCGUUGUCCGGUUUUAUUGGGCGUAAAGCGAGCGCAGGCGGUUUCUUAAGUCUGAUGUGAAAGCCCCCGGCUCAACCGGGGAGGGUCAUUGGAAACUGGGAGACUUGAGUGCAGAAGAGGAGAGUGGAAUUCCAUGUGUAGCGGUGAAAUGCGUAGAUAUAUGGAGGAACACCAGUGGCGAAGGCGGCUCUAUGGUCUGUAACUGACGCUGAGGCUCGAAAGCGUGGGGAGCAAACAGG